rnacentral:lncRNA from 1 species
GUAAAUACACGUGUCGGACAUGUCAACUAGAGUGAGAUACAAACGUUGGGUAGCACAUUAGUUUACGUUUUUCUUGGUUGUAGCGGCUAAAAAACUUCAAAAUUACUAUUAUACCCUUAAUGAAUCCCUUUUAUAUUUAUCCCAAUUCUCAAACUCCUAAACCUAAAUCCCCGUUCUUCCUCGACCUUUUCCUUCUUCUAUCUUCCCUCUUUCUCUAUUUCGAAGCAUUAUCAAAAAUGGAAGGCACCUUGUAUUGUUAUUGUGGUAAAGGGUAGAAUUGAUAAUUUCGUGGUCACAAAAUAACCCCGGUCGCAGGUAUCUUGGAUGCCAAUAUGGUCGAGUAAGUAAUUUUUAAAGUUAUGUUUUGUGCCUAUUUUGUUUCUUCAAAAUUGUUUGGCCAAGACUCCAUUUUUAUGAACUUUUAUUAAUGUUUUUUAUAGGAAGGGUGUAAGUAUUUAAGUGGCUUGAAGAUGAAUUUUCUGAACAAGCUAAGAUUGUAAUUUGGGGAUUUUUGAAGAGGAUCAAAAAAUACGACGAAGAAAAGGAGAAGAUGAGGAGAAAGUACAGAAUGUUGUUGGUCAUUGUGAUACUUGCUUGGAUUGUCUGAGAGUUUCUUAUGUAAUAUUUGCUAUGUUAGUUGAAAUUUAGUUGGUUGAAGGAGCUCUUUUGUGUAUUGGCAGUUAUGUAAACCAGUAGCUAUUUUGAAUGUUAUAAUGUAAGAAACUUAGAUGAAUACAAGUUGAAUCACUUUUGGACUAAUAUUUCAUCAAAAUUUUGACAUAACUAAUGUUCUCCCCGACCGCAACUACAAGAUACAAAUACAAACUGUACAAUAAACUCUACCAAGGCAAAUACAAUCUGUAGAAUAAAUUGCAAAUUUUAUUGCUCAAACCAAGGCAAUAGUCACAAAAUAAAAUGUCAAACAUACAUCUGAAACAUUACUUUAAUAUAAAAUAACUAAAACUGCAGCUAGUUGUAGGUUCAUGAAAAUCAAAUU